GGAUCGUCAGCGAGAUACCUAGCAUCGUGCACGAUGCGACUUGACGUGAGUUCAAGCACGACGGGUCACAACUGCAUGAAACUGAAUUGAGAACAUGGGGGACACGGGGCGGAUCGGCUCUAGAGCGGAUGCGUUAACGCUGCUCGUUUAACAGAACGCAGCGGACGCGGGACGGACCGACUCCAGAACGGAGGUGUCGUCGCUGCUCGUUUAACAGAAUGCCACGGACGCAGAACGAAUCGGAACCCCGGCGAGCGGCGUCGCGACUCGUUUAACAGGUGAUAGGUACAAACGAGUAUUUUACGAUAAUUACUCCGUUGAAGGUAUAUAUUAUUGGAUUGCAAGUAACGCGCGCGGAUGUCGAGCUUAUAAUAUUAAUAUGCUUCUAAUGUAUAAUACGAAAUAAUAAUCGUCAUAAAUGAA
rnacentral:lncRNA from 13 species